rnacentral:sRNA from 1 species
UAAGGAGGAACUUAGUCUAAAAACAUCGCAUACUGAGGUAACGACUGAGUGACCAACAUCGUGUUGG